rnacentral:rRNA from 1 species
UGGGAUGCCCAUACUGAAGGGGAAACACCCGUUCCCAUUCCGAAUACGGAAGUUAAGCCCUUUAAGGUCGAUGGUACUCUAGUCGUAAGGCUACGGGAGAGUAGAUCGGCGUCCCUU